CACGUAGGCACCAAGCGUUGUCCGGAUUUAUUGGGCGUAAAGAGCUCGUAGGCGGUUCAGUAAGUCAGGUGUGAAAUCUUUGGGCUUAACCCAAAGCGUGCACUUGAUACUGCUGUGACUUGAGUUCGGUAGGGGAGUGGGGAAUUCCUAGUGUAGCGGUGAAAUGCGCAGAUAUUAGGAGGAACACCGGUGGCGAAGGCGCCACUCUGGGCCGAAACUGACGCUGAGGAGCGAAAGCGUGGGUAGCAAACGGG
rnacentral:rRNA from 1 species